rnacentral:tRNA from 1 species
GCCCAGGUGGUGGAAUGGUAGACACACAGGAUUUAAAAUCCUGCGGACUAAACCUCCGUGCCGGUUCGAGUCCGGCCCCGGGCACCA